rnacentral:rRNA from 1 species
GACGAACGCUGGCGGCGUGCCUAAUACAUGCCAGUCGAGCGCUGAAGGUUGGUACUUGUACCGACUGGAUGAGCAGCGAACGGGUGAGUAACGCGUGGGGAAUCUGCCUUUGAGCGGGGGACAACAUUUGGAAACGAAUGCUAAUACCGCAUAAAAACUUUAAACACAAGUUUUAAGUUUGAAAGAUGCAAUUGCAUCACUCAAAGAUGAUCCCGCGUUGUAUUAGCUAGUUGGUGAGGUAAAGGCUCACCAAGGCGAUGAUACAUAGCCGACCUGAGAGGGUGAUCGGCCACAUUGGGACUGAGACACGGCCCAAACUCCUACGGGAGGCAGCAGUAGGGAAUCUUCGGCAAUGGACGAAAGUCUGACCGAGCAACGCCGCGUGGGUGAAGAAGGGUUUCGGAUCGUAAAACUCUGUUGGUAGAGAAGAACGUUGGUGAGAGUGGAAAGCUCAUCAAGUGACGGUAACUACCCAGAAAGGUACGGCUAACUACGUG